UACGGAGGGGGCUAGCGUUGUUCGGAAUUACUGGGCGUAAAGCGCACGUAGGCGGCUUUGUAAGUUAGAGGUGAAAGCCCGGGGCUCAACUCCGGAACUGCCUUUAAGACUGCAUCGCUUGAAUCCAGGAGAGGUGAGUGGAAUUCCGAGUGUAGAGGUGAAAUUCGUAGAUAUUCGGAAGAACACCAGUGGCGAAGGCGGCUCACU
rnacentral:rRNA from 1 species